UACGGAGGGGGCUAGCGUUGUUCGGAAUUACUGGGCGUAAAGCGCACGUAGGCGGCUUUGCAAGUUAGAGGUGAAAGCCCGGAGCUCAACUCCGGAACUGCCUUUAAGACUGCAUCGCUAGAACGUUGGAGAGGUAAGUGGAAUUCCGAGUGUAGAGGUGAAAUUCGUAGAUAUUAGGAAGAACACCGGUGGCGAAGGCGGCCCACUGGUCCGGUACUGACGCUGAGGUGCGAAAGCGUGGGGAGCAAACAGG
rnacentral:rRNA from 1 species